rnacentral:rRNA from 1 species
AUUGAACGCUGGCGGCAGGCCUAACACAUGCAAGUCGAACGAGUGGCGGACGGGUGAGCAAUGUAUGGGAAACUGCCUGAUGGAGGGGGAUAACUACUGGACACGGUUGCUACUACCGUAUACCAUCAUAUAUGCCCAGAUGGGAUUAGCUUGUUGGUGGGGUAACGGCUCACCAAGGCGACGAUCUCUAGCUGGUCUGUGAGGAUGACCAGCCACACUGGAACUGAGACACGGUCCAGACUCCUACGGGAGGCAGCAGUGGGGAAUAUUGCACAAUGGGCGCAAGCCUGAUGCAGCCAUGCCGCGUGUAUGAAGAAGGCCUUCGGGUUGUAAAGUACUUUAAGCGGGGAGGCGUUACCCGCAGAAGAAGCACCGGCUAACUCCGUGCCAGCAGCCGCGGUAAUAC